rnacentral:rRNA from 1 species
AGGGAAAGCUGGCGGCAUGCCUUACACAUGCAAGUCGAACGGCAGCACGGGUGCUUGCACCUGGUGGCGAGUGGCGAACGGGUGAGUAAUACAUCGGAACAUGUCCUGUAGUGGGGGAUAGCCCGGCGAAAGCCGGAUUAAUACCGCAUACGAUCCACGGAUGAAAGCGGGGGACCUUCGGGCCUCGCGCUAUAGGGUUGGCCGAUGGCUGAUUAGCUAGUUGGUGGGGUAAAGGCCUACCAAGGCGACGAUCAGUAGCUGGUCUGAGAGGACGACCAGCCACACUGGGACUGAGACACGGCCCAGACUCCUACGGGAGGCAGCAGUGGGGAAUUUUGGACAAUGGGCGAAAGCCUGAUCCAGCAAUGCCGCGUGUGUGAAGAAGGCCUUCGGGUUGUAAAGCACUUUUGUCCGGAAAGAAAUCCUUGACUCUAAUACAGUCGGGGGAUGACGGUACCGGAAGAAUAAGCACCGGCUAACUACGUG